ensembl:lncRNA
AGACCCAUCUCUCCCCCCAGGUUAUCAGUGGCCAGCCAGUGUGUACGGUGAGACGCCUCCUGAAUGUUGAAUGAGAGGGUUAAGGCCCGGAGGAGCUGUGCUGGGUCCCCAGCUAAAGACAUCUUGGACCCGGCCCUCAUUGCAGAUUUCCACCGCCGAUACACCAGUCAGCCCAGUUAUGCACCCAGGGAAUUGAAUCCCGGUCUCCUGCAUGCCCGCAAGACACGGGGCUUCUUUAGCAAAAUUGCCCAGCAUUGUACUCCCGACCCUCACAUUGUACAGCUCCAUAUUUUCCGUUCCAUCCUAACGGAAACCCAGAGGUUUUUUAAGUUUUUUUUCUUGGAAUAGAAACACCAUAAUAUUAAUCAUAUUAAUUAAGCAAGUACCAGUCAAAAGUUUGGACACACCUACUCAUCAC